rnacentral:misc_RNA from 1 species
GUGAAUCAUCAAAUUUUUGAACGCAAAUUGCACUCUCUUCGGAGAGUAUGCCUGUUUGAGGGUCAGCCUAAAAAAAAAUCGACAUAGUCGCUGUUUCGUGGUGACAUUCGUCGGUAAUUGGGUCAUCUUAAAUCUUUUGGUUUUAAGCGUAUUAAAGUUUUCUUUACGAUUCUAUGAACGCUUCUAAGAUUU